GGUGAUUCUUUUUCUUUUUCUUUCUCUGAGGGCCAGACGGCUCACCCUUUUCCUUUUGUCCCUCGGUUUGCGUUCCUGUUUGUUUUGCUUCAUUGAAUUGCUGCGUCCCUCAUCCUUCCGCACACGCCAGCAGAAGAAGCAACGAAACCCAUCAAAGGAGAACGAGGAAAAAAAUCACAAAAACAGAAACGAAACGCACAGAAGCAACAGGCGCUGAAACAGAUCGAUUUCGCUUUAUUUUUGUCCGGUUUGGCACUGUGCUACCCCCCCCCCCCCCGUGUCCCCCUUCGUCUUUUCCCACGGCAGUCUCGCGUCUCCUUGCGGACGCUGCCACCUUCGCAUUUAUUCUUUUAUUACCGCACAACUGUCUGUGCCCACAUAGACGGGCGUACCACGGUGAUCCGCGGCACAUCAUGGGGCACAAGAACUCGUCGAACAUAAGUUCGGCGCCAGUGCCUCCGCCCUUCUACGUCCUCCCUGCUGUCCCUGUUCCAUCUCUAAAGCCUUCGAACCUGGACUUUUCUGAGACAUCUGGAAAGCCGAUUUUGUGCGCUGGAUGGAUAGCACCACACGGCAACCGCUCGUGGUCGCGGCGAAAUGUGGUGUACUCGUCUGAAAUUGAGGUCCCGGUCCCGCAGCCGUGCCAGGUGCGCGUGAAAAUCUACGCUGCCGGCGUCAACCCCGUUGAUGCCCACCGUACCGCUGUGCUGACCAGCUUCCCUGAAGUUGGCACCAGCGGCAAAAGCCGCUGCGCGAGCCGUCACCCGAGACCCCCGUUUAAGUUCCCGUACGUGGUCGGCAUCGAGGGCGCUGGUGUUGUGGAGAGUGUCGGGUGGGCUGCCACCUCAAGCGGCGAGAGAGACGGCUCUGCAGGGGCACCGGCCUCUGCCAACGCCAGGGACAUCCGAGUGGGUGACCGUGUUGCCUUCUUGGCUGAUUUCACGCAGGGAAGCGGCGGCACCUUUUGCCAGUAUGCCGUGGUGGAUAGUGACGUUCUGUGGAAGCUGCCGGAGGUGGUAUGCGCACCACCACCCUCUACCGAUGGACUAGUGCCCGGCCGCCUCAUCGACUUUGUAGAGGCGGCGUCGUUGCCGGCCGCUGCCGCCACAGCGUAUAUCGCGCUUUUCGACAAGUUGAGGAUAGAGACGCAGCGCGCCAUCUUCAUUAGCGGCGCCUCAGGCGGCGUCGGCUCAGCCGCGGUGCAACUGGCUCACUACUUUGGGCUUUAUGUGAUUGCAAGCUGCUCGACGCCGAACAUGCGCUAUGUCCAAAGCCUCGGCGCGGACUACGUCGUCGACUAUACUCGCGCGGAUGUCGUGAAGGAGAUUCUGACGUACACAGACAACUACGGGGUGGACUACCUGCUCGAGUGCGCUGGUGCGUCUAUGGCAGAGGCGCACUCCGAGACGGUGCGAUUCGGCGGCGCGCUCUGCGUCUUGACGGGUUUGCUCUCCCCGAGAAGUGACAUGGUGUUUCGCCGACAACUGUCGGUGCACUAUGUGUGCCUUGGCAUGCAGCAUCAAGACCCGCUGGCACGGACGCAGCUGCAGCCUUUGGGUGAAUUGGUCAUGCAGCUCUACAUUCAAGGUGCCUUUAGCGUGAAUGCGGAGCAGGUGCCCUUUGUUCAAGCAGCGGAUGCGCUGGACGUGGUGGCAUUAGGCCACGGGCGCGGCAAGAUCGUGCUGACCAACUUUCACACGAACGAGGACAAAGAAGAGCGCCUGCGCCGCCGACAUGUUCAGUUGUACGAAAAGGCUCAGCGUCAAUAUCAGCUAGAGGAGACACAAAAGGCCGCCGGCGCAGCAGCAGCCGCGGCAGCCUCUGAUGCGGCAUCAAGGGAAGCGGGGUAGUAUUACGACCUCAUCUCAUUUUACCUCCUCGCUGCGACUCAAAAGCGCAGGGUCGGGCCUGUGGCAGAUAGGGCGGCACGUCUGUGAGAGUGCGCGCCAGUACCGCGUGUGUCUCUCCUUCUUUCAUCUUGCUGUGAGUGCGGGGGUGUGGUGUGUUUGUGUGUGUGGGGAGUAAGCGAGCACUAUACUCGCUGCGGCGUACUUCUGACCCUUUCUUGACUUCUGUGUUGUCGUGUUGCACUACCAUCUCU
rnacentral:misc_RNA from 1 species